AGAGUUUGAUCAUGGCUCAGAUUGAACGCUGGCGGCAGGCCUAACACAUGCAAGUCGAGCGAGAACGUUACUUCGGUAGCUAUUAAAGCGGCGGACGGGUGAGUAACGCGUGGGAAUCUACCUAGUAGUGGGGGACAACAGUUGGAAACGACUGCUAAUACCGCGCAUACGUCCUAAGGGAGAAAGCAGGGGAUCUUCGGACCUUGUGCUACUAGAUGAGCCCGCGUUGGAUUAGUUUGUUGGUGGGGUAAUGGCCUACCAAGACUACGAUCCAUAGCUGGUCUGAGAGGAUGAUCAGCCACAUUGGGACUGAGACACGGCCCAAACUCCUACGGGAGGCAGCAGUGGGGAAUAUUGGACAAUGGGCGCAAGCCUGAUCCAGCAAUACCGCGUGUGUGAAGAAGGCCCUAGGGUUGUAAAGCACUUUCAGCAGUGAAGAAAUGCUUAAGGUUAAUAACCUUGAGUCUUGACGUUAACUGCACAAGAAGCACCGGCUAACUCCGUGCCAGCAGCCGCGGUAAUACGGGGGGUGCAAGCGUUAAUCGGAUUUACUGGGCGUAAAGCGCGCGUAGGUGGUUUAGCAAGUUGGAUGUGAAAGCCCCGGGCUCAACCUGGGAAUUGCAUCCAAAACUGCUAAGACUAGAGACAGUAGAGAGAAGCGGAAUUCCUAGUGUAGCGGUGAAAUGCGUAGAUAUUAGGAAGAACACCAGUGGCGAAGGCGGCUUCUUGGAUUGAUACUGACACUGAGGCACGAAAGCGUGGGGAGCAAACAGGAUUAGAUACCCUGGUAGUCCACGCCGUAAACGAUGUCAACUAGCCGUCUGUGACCUUGAGUCGUGGGUGGCGCAGCUAACGCGAUAAGUUGACCGCCUGGGGAGUACGGCCGCAAGGUUAAAACUCAAAUGAAUUGACGGGGGCCCGCACAAGCGGUGGAGCAUGUGGUUUAAUUCGAUGCAACGCGAAGAACCUUACCAUCCCUUGACAUCCAGAGAAUUCGCUAGAGAUAGCUUAGUGCCUUCGGGAACUCUGUGACAGGUGCUGCAUGGCUGUCGUCAGCUCGUGUUGUGAAAUGUUGGGUUAAGUCCCGCAACGAGCGCAACCCCUAUCCUUAUUUGCCAGCGUUAUGGCGGGAACUCUAAGGAGACUGCCGGUGAUAAACCGGAGGAAGGUGGGGACGACGUCAAGUCAUCAUGGCCCUUACGGGAUGGGCUACACACGUGCUACAAUGGCAGGUACAGAGGGCAGCAAUACCGCGAGGUGGAGCGAAUCCCACAAAGCUUGUCGUAGUCCGGAUUCGCGCUGUAACUCGACCUCAUGAAGGUGGAAUCGCUAGUAAUCGCGGAUCAGCACGCCGCGGUGAAUACGUUCCCGGGCCUUGUACACACCGCCCGUCACACCAUGGAAGUUGGUUACACCUUAAGGCAAAGCUUAUACCUUUGACUACGGUACGAUCAGCAACUGGGGUGAAGUCGUAACAAGGUAGCCGUA
rnacentral:rRNA from 1 species